GCAUAGGCACUGGUCGGGAUAGCUCUAGUUGGUAGAGCAGAGGGACUGAAAAU
rnacentral:tRNA from 1 species